GACGCAGAUGAGGAAAACAGAGCGAGCGAAUGACUCGGAUGGAAAGAGCGGGGAGAGGAGCAAACCCGUCGCCUUCUAAGGCGUCCUCCGCGCCAGCCCGCCGCCGCCGCCGCCGCCGCCGAGCCCCCCGGACAUGUACCCAGACGCCGCGCGGCACAUGCCGUCGGCGGACCCCCACCGCCCCCCCCGGCCCGGCGGCCCCUGCACGUGCCACGGCUGCGCCCGCCGCCCGGACCCCACGGACCCCCGCCGCCACCUCCGGACGGGGGCCGGACCGCGGCCACCCAGGGACCACCCGGCCACGCCGGACGGACGCAGACUCGCCCCGGGGGGGGACAGAGCGGAGAGCCACCGCAGCCCACAGAGGAGGCCUGUGUUCGCCGCGUCGGGCCCCUACCCCGACCUGCCCGGCUACUUGAGCCCCGGGCGCUGGGACCCCUGGGACCCCCGUCCCGCCCAGUGGACUCACCCCGGUGCCCCCGAGCGGCCCGGGGCCAGACACUACGCGUCUGUGAGGGAACAGUGCGGCUGUGUGUCGCGGGGCGGCGGCGGCGGCGGCGGUGGCGGCGACGGGGGCCGUCCCUUUAACGGCACGCCGUUACACACCUUUAAUGGCCGGCCGCCCCCGCCCCUCCCUCCCCCGCCGCCCCCAGAGUUCAGGGGUCAGGGGGACGGCCCGCGGCGGACCAGUGACGGGGAGGAGGGAGAGGGGGGCGAGGGGGAGGGGGAGGAGAAGCCCGGGGAGGAAGGAAACGGAAAACAGCCGAGGACGGGGCGGGAGCGCGGCGGAGGCGGAGCCGGCCGCCGUCGCUCCGAGCAGCACGCGGGCCGCCCCUGGACCCCCUCGGGGUACUCACACGCCCCCAACGGCCCCCCGGGGCGGAGGGUGAGCUCCGAGACCAGGGAGCGGGGGUGCAGGCAGCCGCCGGACUGGAGCUGGAGACCGCUACGGGUCCCGGAGGAGGGGGUUUACAGCGUGCCCGGAGCCGCCCACAGGGGCUUCUUCUCCACCGAGGUCCCCCAGAAACACUUGAGCUACAGCAGGCGGAAGGGGCCCUGCGUGCCUUCGUCGCCCCCCACCGCACGGAGCCAGGGGCCCUCCCCGUCCCCCAGCCAGGACCGGCCCCGGGGCCAGGGCUCCGACCCGCCCCGGCCGGGGGCCGCCACGGUCCACGAACAGAUCCGACAAGUGGUGAUGAACCUGGAGGACGUGCUGGGCGGCUUGAAGCAGGUUCACUGGGAGAUGAAAGAGGUGGUGGACCACAUCGACCGCCUCACGGCCAACAUGGACCUCGGCGACGAGGGCAUCGCCGUCACCCCCGGCAACGAGCCCGCCGACUCCUACGUCCCCCCGCGCCCGGUCGACCUCGGCCCCGCCGCGGCCCCGCCGCCGGCGCCAAACCCCAAACCGCCGUCCGUCCAGAACCACGUGUUCCUCAGGACUAACGCCCCCUCGCCCGUUCACGUGGCGUCCGUGGUCAAGACCAGCCGCGUCCCCCCGCCCCCGGGACCGCCGGGCGCCGGGGACGGGGCGGGGCGCAAGCGGCCGCAGCUGGUCUCCAACGGCCACCUCCUCAACCUGUGCCCGCCCAGGUACUCUGAGCUGCAGGACCCCUGGCGCCGCGGCACGGACCCCGAGGUGGGGACCGCCGCAGGGACGCGGUCGCCGGGGCCCAGGACUCAGAAGCCCCCGCCGUACCCCCAGAACGGGAGGUGCGGGAAGGGCCCGGUGCCCCCUCCCAUCCCCGUGAAGACCCAGACCCCUUACCCUGGGAGACGCAGACAGAACACCAGCAUGGUGUGA
ensembl:lncRNA